rnacentral:rRNA from 1 species
UACGGGGGGGGGCAAGCGUUGUUCGGAAUUACUGGGCGUAAAGGGCUUGUAGGUGGCCAACUAAGUCAAACGUGAAAUCCCUCGGCUUAACCGGGGAACUGCGUCUGAUACUGGAUGGCUCGAGUGUGGGAGAGGGAUGCGGAAUUCCUGGUGUAGCGGUGAAAUGCGCAGAUAUCAGGAGGAACACCGGUGGCGAAGGCGGGUCUCUGGGCCGAUACUGACGCUGAGGAGCGAAAGCGUGGGGAGCGAACAGG